AUAAAUUUGACAAAUGUCUAAAAGAAAUAUAGUAUCUUCUGUGUAAUAUCUUCUUCCGUGCACGUGUGAUUUAUUGUUUAGUCAAUUUAAAUAUCACUCUAAGUAAGAACUGUUAGACAAAACACUCGUAGCAUAAUUGUAUAUUUCAAUAUAUCACAGCCAUACAUUUUUAUAUUCUUUCAGGUGAUUCAGCUUACCCACAGAGGCAAACACUACUGAUGGAUGCACUGACUUUUGGAUGCACCUGUAGGAUCUCCAGAAGCUCGUUAUACCGCUUUACAAGUUCGAGCCCGCAACUGUAUAGAGCGGUGUUUUGGGCGACUAAAAAUCAGUUGGUAGUGUUUGUCGUCAAUGGAGAAACUGCACUACAAGCCAGCAGCGGCAGCUAAGAUCGUUAAAACGUGUUGUGUGCUUGACAAUAUAGCUAACAAAGCGAAUUGUGAACUGCCUCCGCUGAACCGACACGAAGAACAGGAGCAGCAGCAGGAGCAGAGAUUAGCGGCGGAGUUUGACGCCCGUCAGCAGAAUGCUGAUAUUUAUUUGGCAAUGGCUCCUGACAGGUGUUGGCUAAACAAAGAGCUGCAGCUGGGUCGCGCUGCUCGUCAAGCGCUUGUCCGGCAGUUAGCAAAUUAUUGAUUCUUCAUCGGACCAAGGCCGAUUUGUCCAGGACCAAUUUUCGGAUCUCCUGGGCUUCCUGGAACAAGGACUAGUGAUUGUUUCGAGGAGCUGUCAUGGUGUUGGCUCUUGAUAUUUUAUCGUGAAACGCAGAUUUAAUGAUGAAGGCGCGUCGGAACCCAAACGUCAAGAAUCGCCGACGUUCACAGAAGCAGCUACAAUGAGCGGAGAAUCUGAGAGCCAGGAAUGCGGAGCACCUUGCUACUACUAAAAUGGAGAACCCGGACCUGUUAGCGACAUGGAACUGACCAGGACCGUCGUGGGCUCCUCAUGUGCCACCCCCGGAUACCUUUUCUGAUUGUGGUGUUUACAGUACAGUAGUGUACAUAUUCAUGAAAAAAAAUUGUAGGUACUUUUUUUACAUUUUUAAAAAACGCACUCUGCAUGGUUUUGGAGUUUCGACUUCGUGCUAGAUAAAAACCCCCAGGCAAGAGCAAACAAUUUUUUUUCCUAGCCUAUAUUUGUGACCCACUGCAAAGGCCUCUCUUUUCUUCCGCCACCCAUCACGUUUUGCCGCCUGCUUCGGCUAGCCGCAGCAAAAUACGUCGAGGUCAUCUCGCCUCGUUUUUUUUUGGUCUACCUCUGUCCCGACUAGUCGGGUGGUGUCCAGUUAGCAAACUAUACACCCUGUUUCUAUUUUAAAUUAUAUGUGUUGUAUUCUUUUCUUGUACAAUAAAGUGUUUACUUACUUACUUUUUUGAAUUCCGUUAACUUUAAGGGAAGGUUCUUUAGAUUAAAUACGAUUAAUUUCUCAAAAAAGCUAGCGUCUUGG
rnacentral:misc_RNA from 1 species